AGGAUGAACGCUAGCGGCAGGCUUAAUACAUGCAAGUCGAGGGGCAGCAGGGGUAGCAAUACUCGCUGGCGACCGGCAAACGGGUGCGGAACACGUACGCAACCUUCCCAUAACUGAUGAAUAGCCUUCCGAAAGGAAGAUUAAUACAUCGUAACAUAACGAGAUGGCAUCAUCUUGUUAUUAUAGCUCCGGCGGUUUUGGAUGGGCGUGCGCCUGAUUAGGUAGUUGGCGGGGUAACGGCCCACCAAGCCUGCGAUCAGUAACUGGUGUGAGAGCACGACCAGUCACACGGGCACUGAGACACGGGCCCGACUCCUACGGGAGGCAGCAGUAAGGAAUAUUGGUCAAUGGACGCAAGUCUGAACCAGCCAUGCCGCGUGAAGGAUGAAGGCCCUCUGGGUUGUAAACUUCUUUUAUCUGGGACGUAAAAAAGGGUUUUCUAACUCACUUGACGGUACCAGAGGAAUAAGCACCGGCUAACUCCGCGCCAGCAGCCG
rnacentral:rRNA from 1 species